rnacentral:rRNA from 1 species
AUUGAACGCUGGCGGCAGGCCUAACACAUGCAAGUCGAACGAGUGGCGGACGGGUGAGUAAUGUCUGGGAAACUGCCCGAUGGGGGGGGAUAACUCCUGGAAACGGUAGCUAAUACCGCAUACCAUCGGGUGUGCCCAUAUGGGAUUAGCUCGUAGGUGGGGGAACGGCUCACCUAGGCGACGAUCCCUAGCUGGUCUGAGAGGAUGACCAGCCACACUGGAACUGAGACACGGUCCAGACUCCUACGGGAGGCAGCAGUGGGGAAUAUUGCACAAUGGGCGCAAGCCUGAUGCAGCCAUGCCGCGUGUAUGAAGAAGGCCUUCGGGUUGUAAAGUACUUUCAGCGAGGAGGCGUUACUCGCAGAAGAAGCACCGGCUAACUCCGUGCCAGCAGCCGCGGUAAUUC